rnacentral:rRNA from 1 species
UGGGGAAUAUUGGACAAUGGGCGCAAGCCUGAUCCAGCCAUGCCGCGUGAGUGACGAAGGUCUUCGGAUUGUAAAGCUCUUUUUACCAGGGACGAUAAUGACGGUACCUGGAGAAUAAGCCCCGGCUAACUUCGUGCCAGCAGCCGCGGUAAUACGAAGGGGGCUAGCGUUGUUCGGAAUUACUGGGCGUAAAGCGCACGUAGGCGGAUUUGUAAGUCAGGGGUGAAAUCCCGGGGCUCAACCUCGGAACUGCCUUUGAUACUGCAAGUCUCGAGUCCGAUAGAGGUGAGUGGAAUUCCUAGUGUAGAGGUGAAAUUCGUAGAUAUUAGGAAGAACAUCAGUGGCGAAGGCGGCUCACUGGAUCGGUACUGACGCUGAGGUGCGAAAGCGUGGGGAGCAAACAGGAUUAGAUACCCGGGUAGUCCCUGAGCGGGCUGGCAAGGCGCAU